UACGUAGGGGGCAAGCGUUGUCCGGAUUUAUUGGGCGUAAAGAGCGUGUAGGCGGCCAGGUAGGUCAGCUGUGAAAACUCGAGGCUCAACCUCGAGACGCCGGUUGAAACCAUCUGGCUAGAGUCCGGAAGAGGAGAGUGGAAUUCCUGGUGUAGCGGUGAAAUGCGCAGAUAUCAGGAAGAACACCCGUGGCUAAGGCGGCUCUCUAGUACGGUACUGACGCUGAGACGCGAAAGCAUGGGGAGCGAACAGG
rnacentral:rRNA from 1 species